CGGACGGGUGAGUAACGCGUGAGAAUCUACCUUCAGGUUCGGGACAACCACUGGAAACGGUGGCUAAUACCGAAUGUGCCGAGAGGUGAAAGGCUUGCUGCCUGAAGAAGAGCUUGCGUCUGAUUAGCUAGUUGGUGUGGUAAAGGCGCACCAAGGCGACGAUCAGUAGCUGGUCUGAGAGGAUGAUCAGCCACACUGGGACUGAGACACGGCCCAGACUCCUACGGGAGGCAGCAGUGGGGAAUUUUCCGCAAUGGGCGAAAGCCUGACGGAGCAAUACCGCGUGAGGGAGGAAGGCUCUUGGGUUGUAAACCUCUUUUCUCAGGGAAGAAAAAAAUGACGGUACCUGAGGAAUAAGCAUCGGCUAACUCCGUGCCAGCAGCCGCGGUAAUACGGAGGAUGCAAGCGUUAUCCGGAAUGAUUGGGCGUAAAGGGUCCGCAGGUGGCAUUGUUUGUCUGCUGUUAAAGAGUUUGGCUCAACCAGAUCAAAGCAGUGGAAACUACAAAGCUAGAGUAUGGUCGGGGCAGAGGGAAUUCCUGGUGUAGCGGUGAAAUGCGUAUAUAUCAGGAAGAACACCGGUGGCGAAGGCGCUCUGCUAGGCCAAAACUGACACUGAGGGACGAAAGCUAGGGGAGCGAAUGGGAUUAGAUACCCCUGUAGU
rnacentral:rRNA from 1 species